rnacentral:rRNA from 1 species
UACAGAGGUCUCAAGCGUUGUUCGGAUUCAUUGGGCGUAAAGGGUGCGUAGGUGGUGCUGUAAGUCAGGUGUGAAAUCUCGGGGCUCAACCCCGAAACUGCACUUGAUACUGCAGUGCUCGAGGACUGGAGAGGAGAUUGGAAUUCAUGGUGUAGCAGUGAAAUGCGUAGAUAUCAUGAGGAAGACCAGUGGCGAAGGCGAGUCCCUGGACAACUCCUGACACUGAGGCACGAAAGCUAGGGGAGCGAACGGG